rnacentral:rRNA from 1 species
AUUGAACGCUGGCGGCAUGCCUUACACAUGCAAGUCGAACGGCAGCACGGGUGCUUGCACCUGGUGGCGAGUGGCGAACGGGUGAGUAAUACAUCGGAACAUGUCCUGUAGUGGGGGAUAGCCCGGCGAAAGCCGGAUUAAUACCGCAUACGAUCUACGGAUGAAAGCGGGGGACCUUCGGGCCUCGCGCUAUAGGGUUGGCCGAUGGCUGAUUAGCUAGUUGGUGGGGUAAAGGCCUACCAAGGCGACGAUCAGUAGCUGGUCUGAGAGGACGACCAGCAACACUGGGCCUGAGACACGGCCCAGACUCCUACGGGAGGCAGCAGUGGGGAAUUUUGGACAAUGGGCGAAAGCCUGAUCCAGCAAUGCCGCGUGUGUGAAGAAGGCCUUCGGGUUGUAAAGCACUUUUGUCCGGAAAGAAAUCCUUGGCCCUAAUACGGUCGGGGGAUGACGGUACCGGAAGAAUAAGCACCGGCUAACUACGUG